AGCGCAGGCGGGAAACUAAGCGGAUCUUAAAAGUGCGGGGCUCAACCCCGUGAUGGGGUCCGAACUGGUUUUCUUGAGUGCAGGAGAGGAAAGCGGAAUUCCCAGUGUAGCGGUGAAAUGCGUAGAUAUUGGGAAGAACACCAGUGGCGAAGGCGGCUUUCUGGACUGUAACUGACGCUGAGGCUCGAAAGCUAGGGUAGCGAAAGG
rnacentral:rRNA from 1 species